rnacentral:rRNA from 1 species
GACGAACGCUGGCGGCGUGCUUAACACAUGCAAGUCGAGCGGUAAGGCCCUUUCGGGGGUACACGAGCGGCGAACGGGUGAGUAACACGUGGGUGACCUGCCCUCAGCUCUGGGAUAAGCCUGGGAAACCGGGUCUAAUACUGGAUAUGACUCCAUGACGCAUGUUGUGGGGUGGAAAGCCUUGUGCGGCUGAGGAUGGGCCCGCGGCCUAUCAGCUUGUUGGUGGGGUGANGGCCUACCAAGGCGACGACGGGUAGCCGGCCUGAGAGGGCGACCGGCCACACUGGGACUGAGACACGGCCCAGGACUCCUACGGGAGGCAGGCAGUGGGGAAUCUUGCGGCAAUGGGCGAAAGCCUGACGCAGCGACGCCGCGUGAGGGAUGACGGCCUC